rnacentral:lncRNA from 1 species
AGACGAGCACGCAGGGCACCCCUCGGGCUCCCGGGAGGCGGCCCUGGGCGUCCCCUUUCUGCCGCCGCCGCGGCCCCGGCUGCUUUCUGCGUAGCUGGGCAGGGCCCGGGCCCCCACAUCGCCUCUCUCGGGAAUGCGGGCGCUCUGGAGCCGGGGAGCCGGGGCGACCGCAGGGAGGGCAGCUCUCCGGGGUGGAGGUCCUCGGGCGCCGCGCCCUCGCCUGGAAACCAGCCGUCGCCCCCGCAGGAGUCAGCCGGCGUGGACGCCCCAGCACGCUCCUUCUUGGUGCUGCCGGUCGCCCUGCAAUUCCGAGAAGAAAGUCAGAGACGCCGUGGCCCACAGAGGCGCUUAGUUUUCCUCGCUCACACUCACGUUGCUUCCUCAUCGCGUUCUUCUUUUUCUCCCUGGGUGCUUUCUCUCCUCUCCAGGAAAGCGGAUUUGGAGGAACAGGUUUCGUGACUGUCAUCCAACUGGAAAAGGCCCCGCGAGCUGGAAGGGGGGGCGGGGGGGGGGACGGGUGCACCCUCAGAGUUAUUGCUGGAGGCUGUGGCCAGGCCGGGCAAUGUGGUGACUUCCGCUGGCAGGCUGAGGCCCACCCCAGCCCUCCCACCUGGGCCACGGGGCUCUCAGCGGGAGCCCCAGUUAUGACCGGACACCAGCGCACCGCCAAGGAGACAGCCACGUGGGGACAUGCCGGGCUAGCAGGGUCAGAGCCACUUUGAGGACUAGUGACCUCGGUUCCCUGGCUUAACCAGGUCCUUAUGGGUGAGAAUCCUGAAGAGGGGGAGAGGGAUGGAGGCGAGGGACAGUAGGCAGGAGGAGCUGAUGAAUAGGAAGGAGGAAGAAGAUGAAAUAAACAAGAAAGAAAGAAAUUACGUUCAGAGCGCUGCUCACCUUUUCCAUGUCUUCUGCACCUUCAUAGCCUUCAAAGGUGUCCAUGGAGCUAAACUCCCUGCUGGAGCAGCCUUGGGGAAAGAAAGGAAAGGAUGGGGCCUCUCUGGGGUGGGAGGACAGCCCCUCUGCCCAUGGCAGGGUGUAGCAGGCAGUGCCUGUUGCAGGCGGGGUCCUCCCCAUCUCUAACUCCUGCUCUCCCAGGGCCUGCACUCCGCUGGGCUGUGAAGGGAGUCUGAUUUUUUCAGGCUCUUUCCAGCGCUGAAAUGCCUUAAUUCACUGAGAAGAAGCGUCCACAUGCUUUUCAUGGCCCUACCUCCCUGUUCGUCCAAGAAAACAGUCGUCUUUUUUGCUUGCCUGUCUUCUAACCAUGCCUCCGUCCCUUCUUCCUCCCCUGUCUAUUUCCCACCCUCCUCCCCUUCUUGCCUCCUUUUCUUUCCCGUAAUUAAUGUCCAUUUCCCAUCUCCCUGGCAGCCUCUGCCAAGUGUCACUGCUCCCCAUAAGGGAAAAUAAGAGGAACAAGCAAGUGCAUCCAUCCCUGCCUCUCUCCGCAGUGAACUGAUAAACCCAUCAGUCUUGCCCGUGGUGCACCUGUUACAUCCCCGGGAGGUGUUGGACACUGUGGGGAACAGCAGCCACCGCCAAAUACUCAGCAACUGCCCUGUGCCUGGUGGGAUGGUAGGCGUUUGUCAAAGUUUAAGCCUCACAACCCUGUAAGGGUCUCAGCCCCCUUUACAGUUGGGGAAACAGACAGCAAUGGUCACUUGGCCAAGUCCUCUUGGCCUGUGGCAGGGCAGCUGGCUUCUCCAGCCCUGCUGCUCUUUACCCUCGCUCUGAGUGAGAUGCGGUUUCUGCGCCACACGGCUCACAAGCCAGGGUAGGGAGCCGAGCAUCUGCAUAAAGCUCCCAGCACAGGGCAGCCCCAGACUGAGGCUCGGCUGAGUAAUCCACGCGGCGGGAGCCGUGCUAGGAAAGUGUCUGCUCAGGCGAGAAUUCAGGGAGGUUUGGGCAGGCCUUGAGGGGCGGACAGGACUGGAGAGGGAGGGCCUUCUGGGCAGAGGCAUGGCGGGAGGGCUGUAGGCGGCAGUGGAGGGAGCUGCAGUUAUCUGGGUGAGCAGGCAGCGGACAAGUGACGUCUCCCGGCCUGCUGCCCCAGGCCCCCCACAAGCCGCGUUCUGGGGCCGUGGCCUCCCCAGAGCAGAUCAGUGGGGGCUGUGUGAGCAACACUGGGGGCAGCUGGGCAGCGCCUCCCUGGAGGCCCCUCUGAAAUCCCGCCGGAUGCUGGCAGGCUCCAAGGGGGCUGGACACCAUCUUCUCAGGGCCCUGCAGGGAAGCGUGGAAAGGCGGCACAGGGCUGGACCCAGAGGAGCUCUCAGAUGCUGGACUGGACUGUUUCAGGGGUCAUCUAGCCCAUUCCCCGCCUCCAGGCGAGGAUUUGCUUGAGCCUGGAAAGAUGAAGGAUCCUCCCAGUGCCGUCAAGCCCCGGAUUCCACCUCCCUGUAGGUGGACUGCCAGCGCAGGCCCUGACAACGCAGAGAAAGACACAGGACCCAGCUGGGCCAGUGACAGCAGGAGCUCCUGGUGCCACAGGAAUGGAAACUGUGACUCAUAAUAGCCAGCUAGUCAAUGAUUAUUCCCCCCAGUCCCUGGCGCAUCAAGAUUUGCUGUGCUCAAUGGUGCCCAGACUGGAGUACAGUGGCGUGAUCUCGGCUCGCUACAACCUCCACCUCCCAGCCACCUGCCUUGGCCUCCCAAAGUGCCGAGAUUGCAGCUUCUGCCUGGCUGCCACCCCGUCUGGGAAGUGAGGAGCGUCUCUGCCUGGCCGCCCAUCGUCUGGGAUGUGAGGAGCCCCUCUGCCUGGCUGCCCAGUCUGGGAAGUGAGGAGCGUCUCUGCCCAGCCGCCAUCCCAUCUAGGAAGGGAGGAGCGUCUCUGCCCAGCUGCCCAUCGUCUGAGAUGUGGGGAGCGCCUCUGCCCCGCCGCCCCGUCUGGGAUGUGAGGAGCGCCUCUGCCCGGCCGCGACCCUGUCUGGGAGGUGAGGAGCGUCUCCACCUGGCAGCCACCCCGUCCGGGAGGGAGGUGGGGGUCAGCCCCCACCAGGCCAGCCGCCCCGUCCGGGAGGGAGGUGGGGGGGUCAGCCCCCCGCCCGGCCAGCCGCCCCGUCUGGGAGGGAGGUGGGGGGGUCAGCCCCCCACCCGGCCAGCCGCCCCGUCCGGGAGGUGAGGGGCGCCUCUGCCCGGCCGCCCCUACUGGGAAGUGAGGAGCCCCUCUGCCCGGCCAGCCGCCCUGUCCGGGAGGGAGGUUGGGGUGGGGGGGUCAGCCCUCCGCCCGGCCUGCCGCCCCGUCCGGGAGGUGAGGGGCGCCUCUGCCCGGCCACCCCUACUGGGAAGUGAGGAGCCCCUCUGCCCGGCCACCACCCCGUCUGGGAGGUGUGCCCAGCGGCUCAUUGAGAACGGGCCAUGAUGACAGUGGCGGUUUUGUGGAAUAGAAAGGGGGAAAAGGUGGGGAAAAGAUUGAGAAAUCAGAUGGUUGCCGUGUCUGUCUAGAAAGAAGUAGACAUGGGAGACUUUUCAUUUUGUUCUGUACUAAGAAAAAUUCUUCUGCCUUGGGAUCCUGUUGAUCUGUGACCUUACCCCCAACCCUGUGCUCUCUGAAACAUGUGCUGUAUCCACUCAGGGUUGAAUGGAUUAAGGGCGGUGCAAGAUGUGCUUUGUUAGACAGAUGCUUGAAGGCAGCAUGCUCGUUAAGAGUCAUCACCACUCCCUAAUCUCAAGUACCCAGGGACACAAACACUGCGGAAGGCCGCAGGGUCCUCUGCCUAGGAAAACCAGAGACCUUUGUUCACUUGUUUAUCUGCUGACCUUCCCUCCACUAUUGUCCUAUGACCCUGCCAAAUCCCCCUCUGCGAGAAACACCCAAGAAUGAUCAAUAAAAAAUG